rfam:Ailuropoda melanoleuca scaffold894_40, whole genome shotgun sequence.
UCAUUGGCUUUUUUCAAAGCCAUAUCACUCAAAUCAUUUCAAUAUAU